rnacentral:rRNA from 1 species
UUAUUUAAUGGCCGCAGUAUUUUGACUGUGCAAAGGUAGCAUAAUCAUUAGUCUAUUAAUUGUUGACUUGUAUGAAUGGUUUGACGAAAUAUUGACUGUCUCAUGGUUAGUAAUUUAUAAUUUAAAUUUUGAGUUAAAAUGCUCAAAUUUUUUUAUGGGACGAGAAGACCCUAUAGAUCUUGAAUCUUUUAAGUUUUGCUUUAUUUGGCUUAUUAAAUUUGUAAUUCUUAUUGUAUUUUUGUUGGGGUGACAUUAGGAUAAGUUUAACUCUUUUUUUUUGUUUACAUUUGUUUAUGAUUAUUUGAACUUAAUUUUUGUUUAUAAGAUAAAGAUACCUUAGGGAUAACAGCGUAAUUUUUAUUGAGAGUUCAUAUUGACAUGAAAGAUUGCGACCUCGAUGUUGGAUUAAGGUAAUUUUUAGGUGUAGGUGCUUAAUUAAUAGGUCUGUUCGACCUUUAAAAUCUUACAUGAUCUGAGUUCA